GAUGAAGAACGUAGCGAAAUGCGACAAGUAAUGUGAAUUGCAAAAUUCCGUGAAUCAUCGAAUCUUUGAACGCACAUUGCGCCCGCCAGUAUUCUGGCGGGCAUGCCUGUUCGAGCGUCAUUUCAACCAUCAAGCCCCAGGCUUGUGUUGGGGACCUGCGGCUGCCGCAGGCCCUGAAAACCAGUGGCGGGCUCGCUGUCACACCGGGCGUAGUAGAUUUUAUCUCGCUCUGGGCGUGCUGCGGGUUCCGGCCGUUAAAAAACCCUUUUAACCCAAGGUUGACCUCGGAUCAGGUAGGAAUACCCGCUGAACUUAAGCAUAUCAAUAAGCGGAGGA
rnacentral:misc_RNA from 1 species